GAGCCAUUAGCUCAGUUGGUAGAGCAUUUGACUUUUAAUCAGAGGGUCAGAGGUUCGAAUCCUCUAUGGCUCACCA
rnacentral:tRNA from 1 species